rnacentral:misc_RNA from 1 species
CUGUUUCCUCGCCAGGCCGUUUUGUAGGAUAAUCUGCCCCGGAACCACCUGCACAAAUUAUCAACCAAGUUAAUCCAUUUGAACAUACGAGAAGGCCAUCAGUCAUCAGUAAAAAGGGAGAAGAAGAUGGAUCUAAUACUGAAUAUAGAAUCAAUGGAUGGCCGUUUUGGUGACAUACUUCCUUUGAGAUCUGCAAACAUUAAAAUAGUUCAUAAAAUUUAAUUUCUUUGCAUUUAUAUUUUGGAGAAGCGUAAACAUCUGUAGAGGCAAUGAAUCCAAAAUUUACACUAGACCUCUUGGAAUACCCAGCCAAGGAUUGGUUCAACCUGGAACAGGUCAAAAACAAGUUGACCAAAACUGGCUUUUGAACUGGAACUGAUUGGUUUGGAUCUGUCCAGAUUUUUUCCUUCUUUUUUAAAAAACUAAAACCAUUGGCUUUGAUCAAAAUCAGAACUGAGCCAGAGGGACCUUGAGGUCCCAUUCCGGUCUACGCUUGGAUACUCUUUGAACAAGAAAUGAUACCUUAACAUUAAGAAAUUGACUUUCAUUUUACUUUGUGUAUCUGUUUAUUUAUUAUGACCAUUGAAACAACUGACAUUCUUUACUUAUUCUGUUCUCUGAUCACUUCAUGGACAUCAUUUUGUAAUUCCGAGUAUCUGCAGGGUCACCCAUUACCAUUAUAAUGAGCAUAUACUCCUCAAGACACUGAUUCAAAGUCAAGUAUCAAGGUUCAAAUUAUAUUUUCAUACCCUAUUUUCAAUCCUUGUAAACUGUUGUUUCUUAUGCUCUUGCAUGCUUAGAUAUGAAAUUUUCACUAGAAUUUAACCUAUAAAGCCAAGAAGAAGUUAUGUUUCCUAGAAUAUUUUACUUUAUGAUCAUUGCUGCAGUGGUUAUGCAUUAGAAUUCCAUAAUUAUAGAUUAUGUACCCUCAAAUAUCCAAAUGUGAGAGAUCAAUAUAAUUACAUGAAUUAAAGACAUCAGGUCUUCAAGUGCCUCAGACAAUAUGUAAUGUUUGGAUGGUCAAUUGGGGUUUUCUUUUAUUAAAGGCUGAGUAUCCAAAACUAAGCAUCAAAAGAUAAACCUAAAUGCUUAAACCUUGUAUGUUCUUAAACAAAAUGUUUUGAGUUCGUGUAUGUGGAUCUUGGAACUUUCCAGUCCAUUCUCAGCCAUAUCAGAAACCUUAAACAGCCAAACCUCAUUCUCGCAAUUAUAUCUCAAUCCAUUGCUUUUCCUAUUUUUAUAACACAAAUGAAGAAUAGAGAUUAGGAAUUGUUUCACCCAUCUGACUAACAAGUCUCCCAACCCAUUGUGCUCUCCUACUGGACUGGUCCAAAAUAUUUUCUUUUCAAAAGGAAUUUAGCUCAAAUCUCAUUACUAGUGCAGGCAUAUUAACAAAAAACUAGGCCUGAAAUGUACCCUACAAAAUAAAAUUUGAUAUAGACAUCAGAUAAGUAUAAAGCAUUUCACCAGUCCAGCCUAAAGGGUAUUUCAUCAUCCAUGUGUAGAUAUGCUAAUAAGAAAUUUUCUUCAUGGUUGAACACAGAGUGAAUAUGAGCAAAAAGAUAUUCCUAUCCUCAAUGAUUAAAAAAUUAGAAACAAAUUGCAUCUAAAGAAUGCAUAUAGGCCGUGAACUUAAAUAUAGCAAUUGUAGAGAAAGAAACUCAAUAACAUUGACUUUCAGAAUCAAAUUGCAUACCAAAAGCAUGUAGCCCUUUGAC